UGAUCUUCUGGACUGAAGCUUCUGCAACCUGUAUAAUGGCCUCCUCAAGGGUAGGUAUGGUAAGUUCAGGUUCAGGUUCAGGUGAAUGAGGUGGAGAGUUUUGAGGGCUGAGAUUUAGAGAGUGAGGUUCAGUUUCUGAUUCUGGUUGAGGUUCAGAUUCUGCUUGAAAUUCAGAAUCUGGUUCUGGUUGAAGACUGGGGGAUGAAGCAUAGAGUGGGUUUAGGUCUAAUGGGUCAGAGUCUGGUCCAGGUACAGCGGGAAUAAUUGGUGGGGUGAUAUAAGGAUCAGAUGGUCGAAUUACAGAUGGUUGGGUUUCAGAGGGUGUGGUGGUUGUUUG
rnacentral:lncRNA from 1 species